rnacentral:rRNA from 1 species
UACGGAGGGGGCUAGCGUUGUUCGGAAUUACUGGGCGUAAAGCGCGCGUAGGCGGACCUGCAAGUCGGGGGUGAAAGCCCGAGGCUCAACCUCGGAACUGCCUUCGAUACUGCGGGUCUCGAGUCCGGGAGAGGUGAGUGGAAUUCCUAGUGUAGAGGUGAAAUUCGUAGAUAUUAGGAAGAACACCAGUGGCGAAGGCGGCUCACUGGCCCGGUACUGACGCUGAGGCGCGAAAGCGUGGGGAGCAAACAGGAUUAGAUACCCUGGUAGUCCACGCCGUAAACUAUGGGUGCUAGCCGUCGGUCGGCAUGCCGGUCGGUGGCGCAGCCAACGCAUUAAGCACCCCGCCUGGGGAGUACGGUCGCAAGAUUAAA